UACGUAGGGUGCAAGCGUUAAUCGGAAUUACUGGGCGUAAAGCGUGCGCAGGCGGUUUUGUAAGUUUGUCGUGAAAGCCCCGGGCUCAACCUGGGAAUGGCGAUGAAGACUGCAAGGCUUGAAUCUGGCAGAGGGGGGUAGAAUUCCACGUGUAGCAGUGAAAUGCGUAGAGAUGUGGAGGAACACCGAUGGCGAAGGCAGCCCCCUGGGUCAAGAUUGACUCUCAUGCACGAAAGAGUGGGGAGCAAACAGG
rnacentral:rRNA from 1 species